CCUGAGCCAAACCCCACAAGCACAGAAUGGGAGAGCAGAGCCGUGAGUGCCUACGUGCUGCUACUCUUUCCUGUAUCUGGCUCAACUGCUUGAACACCGUGACUCACUCCAUUGGUAGGACCUCUUUGAAUCUCUGAUCCGGAAGGAAAUUUACAGAAGUCAAGACAAGAGUAAUCCCCUUGAGAGGUUAAAACUAGAAGAUGCUCUCUGCGUCAGAGUUACAGUACUUACCAAAGUGGUGAGUUGUAUGUUACCCUACCGUGAACCCACACGGUGCCUGAAAUAUUGUUAAAAUCAAAGAAGUUUGACAGUCCAGUAUGAUCUUU